GUCUGCUGUGCCCGCUUUUUUUCGUGUCUUUACUUGUCAUAGAUGUAUGGUUAAGGCCGUUGGCGGCCUAAGUUACUGCUCUAAUGUUUAGUAAAUGUAAUAAAAGAAGUGGACCUUGAGUGUACAUGGUUGAGUGAACAGCGGUGUGUCAGGACUGUGUGUAAAAGGAAGUCAGUUUUAGAGAACAAGUGGCUGGAGUAAAGAACAUAAACAGACACUAAUAAAAUCAUUGUGUUUAUUGACGCUCAUGUUGUUUUGGUAUUUGUCCGAGGGUUCCCCCUCCCCCUUUCUCUACUCACCUUGUAUUAUCUUAG